rnacentral:rRNA from 1 species
GAUGAACGCUGGCGGCGUGCCUAAUACAUGCAAGUCGAGCGAACAGAUGAGGAGCUUGCUCCUCUGACGUUAGCGGCGGACGGGUGAGUAACACGUGGAUAACCUACCUAUAAGACUGGGAUAACUUCGGGAAACCGGAGCUAAUACCGGAUAAUAUAUUGAACCGCAUGGUUCAAUAGUGAAAGACGGCUUUGCUGUCACUUAUAGAUGGAUCCGCGCCGCAUUAGCUAGUUGGUAAGGUAACGGCUUACCAAGGCAACGAUGCGUAGCCGACCUGAGAGGGUGAUCGGCCACACUGGAACUGAGACACGGUCCAGACUCCUACGGGAGGCAGCAGUAGGGAAUCUUCCGCAAAGGGCGAAAGCCUGACGGAGCAACGCCGCGUGAGUGAUGAAGGUCUUCGGAUCGUAAAACUCUGUUAUUAGGGAAGAACAAAUGUGUAAGUAACUAUGCACGUCUUGACGGUACCUAAUCAGAAAGCCACGGCUAACUACGUG